GAAAGAUAAAUAUUCAGCCCGGUCUCAUUCCCAACACGUCAAAUGCAGUCGCUUUGUCAAUGGCCGUACUCAUCAAACUAUGACACCACGGGUACCCCUUAGCCUCGUUCCUGGACACACCUGUCUAGCAUAAUGUUUUGAUGUGCCGUCGAAGUCAGGUGAGUAAGUAUAAAGAGCGAGAAAAGUCCACGUAAACCUAAACCUAACCGAGUAGUUUUGGUGCCUAAACCUAACCAAACUGCGACCGUUUCGUUAACCAUGUGUGAUGAAAUGUUCCUUAGCAAGCUUUAUUUUGAAAAUCUAACCGGACGUUGCAUAUUUACUAUUGCUACCUUGACUUCAGAGCCCUGCACUGCAAAACUGAAUCUAAGCGGUACCUACAGCAUCAUAUUUUGAUAGGUUAUUUUAUCAGCCCUCUCAACAGCUGUGACAGCUCCAGCCAUGAUCGAGUUUGGCUUGUUUUCACUACAUCCUCUGCAAACUUUGACACCUGAUUUCAUUGAGGGAGAUGGGAUUUGAAAGGUGGGGGACACGGGUCGCCAAGCCCUCUUCUCCAGAUUGUCUAAUGUACUGUACCUGAGCAGCUGGUUGUGAAAAAUGCUUCUGUGUCUCUAGUCCUCC